GCUAGCGUUGCGAACGAUGGUCCUUCCACGUGGAAGGUGAAAAGGGAAGCCGGUGCGAGCGAUUUCAAACCCGGCGCUGCCCCCGCAACUGUGAGCGACGAGCCCGCGCCGAGGCCACUGGGAUGUUCCUGGGAAGGCGGCGAGGGGCUUUGACCCGCGAGCCAGGAGACCUGCCAUCGUGAAGAGUGCUUU
rnacentral:ncRNA from 2 species